CCUACGGGUGGCAGCAGUGAGGAAUAUUGGUCAAUGGACGAGAGUCUGAACCAGCCAAGUAGCGUGAAGGAUGACUGCCCUAUGGGUUGUAAACUUCUUUUAUAUGGGAAUAAAACGUUCCACGUGUGGGAUUUUGUAUGUACCAUAUGAAUAAGGAUCGGCUAACUCCGUGCCAGCAGCCGCGGUAAUAUGGAGGAUCCGAGCGUUAUCCGGAUUUAUUGGGUUUAAAGGGAGCGUAGGUGGAUUGUUAAGUCAGUUGUGAAAGUUUGCGGCUCAACCGUAAAAUUGCAGUUGAAACUGGCAGUCUUGAGUACAGUAGAGGUGGGCGGAAUUCGUGGUGUAGCGGUGAAAUGCUUAGAUAUCACGAAGAACUCCGAUUGCGAAGGCAGUUCACUGGACUGCAACUGACACUGAGGCUCGAAAGUGUGGGUAUCAAACAGGAUUAGAUACCCUAGUAGUC
rnacentral:rRNA from 1 species